GUGAGUAGUUCAGAGUUUGAUCCUGGCUCAGGACGAACGCUGGCGGCGUGCCUAACACAUGCAAGUCGAGCGGAGACACUGAGGAGCUUGCUCCGAGGUGUUUUAGCGGCGGACGGGUGAGUAACGCGUGAGCAACCUUUCCUCUACUGGGGAAUAACACAUCGAAAGGUGUACUAAUACCGCAUGAGACCACAGCACUGCAUGGUGCAGGGGUCAAAGAUUUAUCGGUAGAGGGUGGGCUCGCGUCUGAUUAGAUAGUUGGUGGGGUAACGGCCUACCAAGUCGACGAUCAGUAGCCGACCUGAGAGGGUGAUCGGCCACAUUGGGACUGAGACACGGCCCAA
rnacentral:rRNA from 1 species